rnacentral:rRNA from 1 species
CUACGGGGGUGCACCAGUGAGGAAUAUUGCACAAUGGGGGGAACCCUGAUGCAGCAACGCCGCGUGGAGGAUGACGCAUUUCGGUGUGUAAACUCCUUUUAUAUGUCAAGAAAAUGACGGUAGCAUAUGAAUAAGCACCGGCUAACUCCGUGCCAGCAGCUGCGGUAAUACGGAGGGUGCAAGCGUUACUCGGAAUCACUGGGCGUAAAGGACGCGUAGGCGGGUUGGAAAGUCAGGUGUGAAAUCCUACAGCUUAACUGUAGAACUGCACUUGAAACUUCUAAUCUAGAGUAUGGGAGGGGGAGAUGGAAUUAGUGGUGUAGGGGUAAAAUCCGUAGAUAUCACUAGGAAUACCUAAAGCGAAGGCGAUCUCCUGGAACAUUACUGACGCUAAGGCGUGAAAGCGUGGGGAGCAAACAGGAUUAGAUACCCGAGUAGUC